GUUUGCUUCUGGCAACAAUAUCCUGAUGCUGUCUGAGUGUGAGGCGAAUCUCCAGCAUCAGUGAUUUUGUUGUUAGUAGUA